GGACCCGCACAAGUAGUGGAGCAUGUGGUUUAAUUCGAAGAUACGCGCAGAACCUUACCAACACUUGACAUGUUCGUCGCGACUCUAAGAGAUUAGAGUUUUCGGUUCGGCCGGACGAAACACAGGUGCUGCAUGGCUGUCGUCAGCUCGUGUCGUGAGAUGUUGGGUUAAGUCCCGCAACGAGCGCAACCCUCACUUUUAGUUGCCAUCAUUAAGUUGGGCACUCUGAAAGAACUGCCAGUGAUAAGCUGGAGGAAGGUGGGGAUGACGUCAAGUCCUCAUGGCCCUUACGUGUUGGGCUACACACGUGCUACAAUGGUAUCUACAACAGGAAGCAAGACUGCGAAGUUAAGCAAAUCCCUAAAAGAUACCUCAGUUCGGAUUGAGGUCUGCAACUCGACCUCAUG
rnacentral:rRNA from 1 species